rnacentral:rRNA from 1 species
AACGAACGCUGGCGGCGCGCCUAAUACAUGCAAGUCGAGCGAGAAGACGUAGCAAUACGUUUGUAAAGCGGCGAACGGGUGAGGAAUACAUGGGUAACCUACCCUCGAGUGGGGAAUAACUAGCCGAAAGGUUAGCUAAUACCGCGUACGCUCCUUGGACUUCGGUUCAGGGAGGAAAGCGAUACCGUGGGUAUCGCGCUCUUGGAUGGGCUCAUGUCCUAUCAGCUUGUUGGUGAGGUAACGGCUCACCAAGGCUUCGACGGGUAGCUGGUCUGAGAGGACAAUCAGCCACACUGGCACUGCGACACGGGCCAGACUCCUACGGGAGGCAGCAGUAAGGAAUAUUGCGCAAUGGGACGAAAGCCUGACGCAGCGACGCCGCGGUGGGGGA